AUAUCAAUAAGCGGAGGAAAAGAAACCAACAGGGAUUGCCUUAGUAACGGCGAGUGAAGCGGCAAAAGCUCAAAUUUGAAAUCUGGCACCUUCGGUGUCCGAGUUGUAAUUUGAAGAAGGUAACUUUGGAGUUGGCUCUUGUCUAUGUUCCUUGGAACAGGACGUCACAGAGGGUGAGAAUCCCGUGCGAUGAGAUGCCCAAUUCUAUGUAAAGUGCUUUCGAAGAGUCGAGUUGUUUGGGAAUGCAGCUCUAAGUGGGUGGUAAAUUCCAUCUAAAGCUAAAUAUUGGCGAGAGACCGAUAGCGAACAAGUACAGUGAUGGAAAGAUGAAAAGAACUUUGAAAAGAGAGUGAAAAAGUACGUGAAAUUGUUGAAAGGGAAGGGCUUGAGAUCAGACUUGGUAUUUUGCGAUCCUUUCCUUCUUGGUUGGGUUCCUCGCAGCUUACUGGGCCAGCAUCGGUUUGGAUGGUAGGAUAAUGACUAAGGAAUGUGGCUCUACUUCGGUGGAGUGUUAUAGCCUUGGUUGAUACUGCCUGUCUAGACCGAGGAC
rnacentral:rRNA from 1 species